AAUCUCAAAACUUGUUUACAGUGUAACUACUUGCUAUAACUAACAACCAAAAUAUGAGCACUACCUGCAAGUUAUGCCUACUAGGCAAUAUUUUUCCUCGGUGCGUUCAAGCUCUUGAGAGCCGAUAGUCUUUUCUUUUUCUCCCUCUUUAAACAUAUAGCUUCUAACCCUUCAGAUGUCAAAACUGAAAAGGAAGCUGCUGUUAUCAGAAACCAUUAACAUCAAAGGCAUUUGAUUCAGACGUCUGGGCCAAAUUCUUUUUAGUUGUACUGUUGGCAUUCUGUGGAUGACAGAGAGUUUGCACUAGUGAAACUGAAGACAAUUUAAGUAUUAAGUACGUGUCAAGUAUGGAGGUCUUUUAACAUAAGCCAUUUGGGAAUAUUCCAUGUACAGAAACAAUGCCUGGUACACUUCUCAAUAUCUGAAAAACGCCAUUUUAUUAUACUGAACUCAGAGGUCGAAGUGGAAUUUACCAAAUUGGUCAAAAAACUCUCUUCAGCUAAGAGCAGUCAUUGAAAAACUAAUCCCAAUGGUAAGUUUUUCAACAAAUUAUCAGUGCCUGAAAGUAGGAGCUUUAUAGUAGAAGCUGCUUCCUCAACUAAAACUGGUAUUGCUACUUUGGAAUUAUAACCCUUUAAAAAUGUACUUUAUAGCUCCUGAGUUGCUUGCCUCACACAUCAGCAUGUUCCUUACUGCAUAAAUUACCAUCUUGUGUUGUCUUCACAAUGCUCCUUCUGUAGAAUGUCUUAUAAAGGUGGCCUAUGAAAUGAUUUCUUUUAAAAUUGGACUUGCCUUUUUUGCUCCAUUACAAUAUAUAGAUGCUUGAAAGGUGGUUUUUACCCACUCCCCUCUUUAAAAAAAACAAAUUAAAAAAAAUCAGUUUUUUAACCUUGGAAAUAUCCGCUCUUGUCCUCCGUUUUUUAAGGAGUGUGUUAAAUCUUUAACAGAAACUUCCUUUGUGCAAACUGUCAGCGAUUAAAUAGGUGUUAACAAACAGCAUUGCUACUGGGUAGCCUGGGUCCAGCCGAGAAUAGGACAAGUGUUCCCUGUAAAGAGUUGCAGGAAGGGUGGCAAGGGGGCGGUGGAAGGGAGGUUGCAGAGGAAGGGACAGUUUCCUGCAGUGGUCCCUGGAGAAGGGAGACUUCAGGUGAGAAGCCUGUAAGUUGUGGCUGGAUAGAAAGCCCCUGUUGGACGUUUGUUUUCCUUUUGUGAGUUUAUUGGUCAUUUUGGACAGUAAGCAAAGCCUGGAGGCAAGUGCUAAAGACUGAUUUCGACAUGAUUGAUCAUUUUCAAGGCUGGUGAGGAUUGUUGGCAGCUUACAAACAUCUUAAGCAGACUGGUUUAAAAACCUUUUCCCUCUGUCAGUUGUUGGUUUUCAUCAUCCUGCUGCUUAAGACAUUUAAUUGGUUCUCCAGUUAUCAUAGGCUGAGUCUACAGUAUUGCCUUGUUUAUACUGGAAAUCGUCCUGCUUCCAGCCAUUAGUGGCCAAGUGUGUAGCUCCUCUUGGCAAAGACAAGGAGAGCCACAAAAGCGAAGCUUACAGUAGUAAUUUCCACCAGAGCGAAUUGUAGCUUUCCUGGUCUAUGCUAAGCUAUUUAGGUAGUUGGAAUGGAGGUACAUUCCCAGUGUAGACAAGACUAAAGAAAACUGGGACCUGUAAUUUUUCAUUUGUGCAACUUCACAGAGGUUGGGGGGUCUAUCACUCUUUUGUUUUUUCCCCUUGCUCAAAGUAGCAUUAAACAGCACAGCAGUAAAAAAAAAAAAACAAAAAAACAAAAAAAACUGCUCUGUCUUCACUACAGUUGACUA